rnacentral:rRNA from 1 species
GGCGUCCCUCAGGAAAAAAAAAGAGAGCGAGAGAGGACACGGAGGGGUCCGGAGGCUAGAAAGAGAAGAAGGCUCUCGAGCGGCGGCUGCGCGACGAGGAUAUGAGCGGCGAGGCGGGGGCCGGCGGCGGCGGGGAGGCGAACGGCGUCCAGCCGAACGUGACCAUCUACAUCAAUAACCUCAACGAGAAGAUCAAACUCGAAGCGCUUAAGAAGUCCCUGAAUGCCGUUUUCUCCCAGUUUGGGAAAAUCAUUGAGGUGCUUGCUUUUAAGACUUUGAAGCAUAAAGGGCAGGCAUGGGUUGUGUUCGAAGAUGUUGCAUCAGCAACUGAGGCUUUGAAGAGGAUGCAAGAUUUUCCCUUCUAUGACAAACCCAUGAAAAUUCAAUAUGCCAAGACCAAGUCAGAUGUUAUAGCAAAAGCUGAUGGCACCUUCGUACCUCGAGAAAAAAGGAAGAGGAAUGAUGAGAAACCUGAAAAGAAGCAGAAGCGUGAGCAGCACCACGAUGUUAACCAGGCUGGCGUGGGCAUGCAUGCCUAUCCUGGUGCUUAUGGGGCUCCGCCGCUCUCUCAGCUACCUUUUGGUGCGGGACCAAAGGUCAUGAUGCCAGAGAUUAUUGUACCAAACAACAUUCUCUUCGUCCAAGAACUCCCACACGACGCCACGGCUUUGAUGCUGCAGAUGUUCUUCUGCCAGUACCCUGGGUUCAAGGAAGUGCGGAUGAUCGAAGCAAAGCCCGGAAUCGCUUUCGUGGAGUAUGGAGACGAGGGGCAGGCGACCGCAGCCAUGAACCUUCUUCAAGGUUUCAAAAUCAAAGAGAACCCAAUGCGCAUCACAUAUGCGAAGAAGUAACUUGAUGAGCUGUAUUGACUUGAAUUAAUGUUGUAGCCCUGGUUUUGCACCAUUUGGUAGAUUUUCUUCACAUGUAAGGUAGACUACACCAUGGAUAAUCCAGUAAAUUAAUGUAUGGUUCAGCUGCAUUUAUGCGUCCAUGCUUGGAAGCUAUUUUCAGUCAUGUAUUUGGGUUUGGCAUCGUUGUGAUAAUCUUAAGUCAAAUCAUAUGUUGCCAAUUUCGUCUAAUAACCAUUUCCUACUUUUGUCGCUAUUUUUCCACAAGUUCCUCACAAACCAUAAACUUGAGCUCCGAGUAUUACGUUGAUGUUUGUGAUGACAAUUGAUUCUCUAGAACAUGUGAAAAAUUUCUUCAUCGUCACAGCCGUCCAUCCUCCAACGAACGGGCGAUAUCUUCGCCUAAGCGAACCGGAGUUCCAAAGGAUUUCGCGAUCCCCACCCAUCUCCCCCUCUCCCAUGGCAGAGCCGCCGCCGCCCCCGUCGCAGUCGCCGGCGCAGACGCCGCCGCCCACGCAGCAGCAGACGCCCGCGGCAACCGCGCGGGAUGAAAUGAUGGCGUGCGUGGCUGCGCUGGAGGCAGCGCUGCUGCCGUGCCUCCCCGCGCGCGAGCUGCAGGCCGUCGACCGCUCCCUCCAGUCCUCCCACCAGAUUGAUGUGGAGAGGCACGCGAGGGAUUUCAUGGAGGCCGCCAAGAAGCUUCAGUCUUACUUCAUCACCAUGCAGCGCGAGGACCAACCAACAGACGAAGAACUGCUUCGUAAGGAGAUUACUACAAUGGAGGAAGAACUGAAGACCAAGUCUGAGCUCAUUGCCAAGCACAAGAGUCUCAUUGAAGGGUGGCAGAAAGAACUAAAGGUCCAGCUGGGCAAGCACAACACCGAGCUCGAAAGAGUUUGAUUCUGCCAUGUACAUUUCCUAUUUCGACCAGAAUGACCAUGAAAUUCUGUGUGGCUGAAUGUUACAGUUGUCCCUGGAAAAAUUGUGUCAGCCUAGAGACAAGCCAGCAUAACUAAUGUUUAGGAUCUAACCAGUCAAUUGUUCAUCGAUAUCUUGUUCCGUUGUGGAACAUGUAAUUUUUUCUAUCUGUUUGGUUACCAAAUGUCUUGAUUCGGAGGUUGGGGCAAAUUUAUCAUGCAAAACAUGUACUCGAAAGUUGAAAACAAUCUAUACACUAGCUAAUUGUCUGCGUUGCAGCGAGGCAUAUAACUUACACCCACCAUAUUCUAAUGGUU